UAGACUCAUCCUCCUAAGCUGUUGUCUUCUUUGUGAGGUCAAAGACCAGGUGGAUGAAAAUAAAGAUUGGUGUUUAUCUCUGGGAGGAUCAGAGCCGAUUCAGUCUCAUUAAAGCUGCUGCAGGCUCACCUGUGUGGCUUUGCUGGUGCCUUAGGGGAAAGCUCAGCAGGGGCUCACUUCUUCAUGAUAGAGAAGAAAGCCGUGGAUGAGCCAGCAUAUUUAAUUGGUAUAAAGGGAAAUCCCUUUUCUUUUAUAUGGGUGGCUAAGGGAGCUGACUGGAAGGAGAACUUCUCCCCCUUAGAAUGAGUUACCUUAAAUACUAUUCUCCAUACCUUUCCCGAUUUAUGCUUUUCCAAGUCAACUAGCAGUCCUUUGGCUUAUUUUACAUGUGGCUGCAAUACAAGAAUGCUGCAAACUUCAAACUGAUUUAAAUGACACUGAGUUAUUUAGGGCAAUGACAUCUUCCAAGUGGACUGAUAAAACCUCCAAGAUGAAACAACAGUGUAAAUGAUCAGGAAACAGUCCAUGUGAGGCCAGUGAACUUUGCAUUCAUGAGAACCCAGUGAACUUUGCAUUCAUGAGAACCCGGUCUUCAUUUGAUAGAGCCAUCCAAGAAAAGAGCCGGUGUGAAACAAAGUUUGUGUACAUUGAACCAUCAAAGGUGUCACUAUCUCAGCUAUCCAUGUGGACAAUUUUGGAGUAUUCAGGAUUCUGGAAAAAAAGAUGCUCAACCUGUAGUGUACAGGUUUGCAGGUGGGGAAACAAGUCUCAGAGUAAAUGGCAUUAGAAGAGGAGGAAGAAAUUUUAUAUGAAGAAAUUGGAAAGCUUGGAUGCCUAUUACCACCCAUCCUCAACUGGCACCUGGGCUACCUGGCUUGUACUUCUGAAAAAUCAUCACAUUCAAAACCCUGGAAGAGACUAUAGAGAGAGAUAUGGGGUGCAUAUUCUUGGGACUCAGGGUCUAGAAAAUUGUGUUUGUGUGUACACAUAUACAUGUUUUAAAUUGAAAAGCUGAGGUACUUAAUGCAUAAUGCUCAAUGAUAUUGUCUGGGAAAGUUGCAGGAUUUGACCUGGAAACCGUAGGAACUGAGAUGAUUCUGAACUGACACAUCUCUGAUUUUUUUUUGAUUCCAGAGAAAUCUCUCUACCACCAGGCUCCACCAUAAGAAGGAGAAUCACCAUGCAAAUAGAAAAUAAAUAAGAGAGGAAUGUGAGUCUCUGUAUGAGUCCAAGUGGAAUUAAGAUUGUAACACAGUAUGACCCCUGUAUCCAUGGGGGAUACAUUCCCUGUCUUCACACAGAUAUGCAAAAUCGCAGAUGAUGACAAACCCCAUUGAAAUGAAGGAGUUCUGGCCCAAGAAUAUCAUAGUCAAAUUGAAGGACCUAGAAAAUGGCUAGAGAGGACAUAUGUUGUUGAACAUGGAUAAAGGAAACUGUAGUAACCAGAAUGUGGGCUGUCCUGUAUAUAAAGAAAGAAGGAGAAAGGGAUCAAUGGAAGAUAAAAGGGAGCCCCACACAAUUCUUAAUUAUUACAGAUUGAGACUCCACACUCUCACCACAUUUUUUAUUUAACUUCAUAUCAAAAUACAGGACUUUGCAAAGUUUGUGAUUCCUCGGAAAUUCCAAAUCUGUCCUCAGAGUGAGAAAAUAUGUUUCCAAACUAGUAACACAAUUGUGCACAAACCAGCAUUGUUACCAUCUUAUUUACUAUCACAAUUGGCAGUUUUUAUUAUUGUACAUUUAUUAUUAGAUUCAUUUUUUCUUCUUAGAAAAAUAUGGAAUUUUCUCAUGAUUUUCUUAGUAUUCCUUCAUAUUAUCUACACAUUUUACUACAACCCGAAUAAACCAUUUUAGCAUGCCUAAGUUUUUACCUUGUCCUUCAGAAACGGAUAAAUUUAUGAAUCCAUUGAGCCCUUCUUUUAAAUAAUGGAGUCUGGGAGGUCAAGUUGACAAUUGUCUGUUGAUGGAGCCAGAAGGAAAGGAUUGAGCCUUACAUUGGGUUGGGGGUGAGAGGCUGCUGCUGGUGGUGGUGGGGUAAAAGAAAAAGAAAAGCAGGAGGGAAAAGGUAUGCUCCAUUCGCCCCUGUCACUUUCUCCAGUUGCUAUGGCAAUGUCUAAUCUCAAUCAGAAAUCAAAGAAAGAGAGAGAGAGAUAAAAGUGAUGAUGGUUGGUUUUUCUAAAGCCUUCAGGCCUGGGCCAGUAUGUGAUCAUCACCCAGGUAGACAGGCCUUGAAUGCCAGACAGUAAGGCUAGGCUGGGAUCCCAGGAGCAUGGG
ensembl:lncRNA